CUCAUAUAUUUUUUUUGUCAGACUAAGGACAGAGUGGAUGAAAAAGACAAGAUCAAACAAAAAAAUUAAAGAAGAAAGAAGGGAGCUUGAGAAUUGUUGAUGGAUUGAACAUCUAAAUGCAGCAUUUUUAACUACCAGAUACCAAAGCAGAGUCACCUUGACUGAUCAGAUCAUCUGGAUAGACAGUGGACAAACCUUGACAGACAGCAGAGAAGUGAUGAAGGACAGUGGAAAGCCAAAAACGUGCAGACCCUCACCCACCAGGAUGCUAGACAACUGAGGUCAUUACAACACAGCAUGGACUUUGCAGAGACUAGAAGAAAACCAAGACAAGACCACAAUAUGGUUUAAGUAGAUUGUCUAUUUAAUCAUAUUUUUUUUUGGCCCAGCCCGGGAGGCCUUUGAAUGUGGGGUACAGCUGGCCCGGGGUUUUCCUCCUAGGGGCAAGUGGACGUACGGGGAGGUUUUUCACCCAGCUGUUGUUCCACAACCCCCAUUCAGGUUACAGGUAGCUGGUUAUUUCUUUAGCUUGAUAGACUCUUGCUAAAAUGCUUGCAUUGGUUUUGAGAAAGUCAACGUGAUGAAUUCUAAAACAUGUACAGUCACUAACUUAUUAGAACAAACCACUCUCAACUGAUGCUAACAACUACAUGGCUUGUACUUUUUCUUUCACCCAGCAAGUGACUUUUUAAUACCUCAACAAAGCAAUACACAAUUAACUGUGACUUCAAACAGAACCUACUGUACACAAACUUGACUAACAAACAAUAGAUUGAAUCUGACAACGACAUCUACUAACUAAGUACUACUAACAUAUGGCUUAUUCAUGAUCUCAAUAAACCAGCCAACAAACUUUUACUUCAAAUAACAGACCCAACACAAACUUGACUUGCAACAGAUGGACUGAAACUGACACCAAAAACUACUGACACCUUACUAAUGACUUAUUUGUGACCUCACCAAACCAACCAAGCUUAAAACAGAGCCAGAACAAACUUGACUAACAAUAGAUGGAUUGACACUGACAUCAUCUGACACCAAGAUUUACUAGCUUACACCUUACAACUGACUUAUUCAUGACCUCAACAAACCUAAAAACUACUUACAUGUGACUCCUGAAGCACCUCAGUGUAGAAUAAUAAAUUACAAGACUGUUAUUGACACUGCCAGAUACUACCGACUUCUUCCAUGAUUGGCACAUAGGGGUACACUGGAUUUCAAGUUGUGGGGAUGGUUGAAGGAUUUUUGGGUAUUGGAAAUUUUCAAUUCUGGGAGUGUUCUGGGUUGGAAAAUUUGACAAGUGUUUUAUGGGUGGCUUGAUUUAAGUAGGGAUUUGUUUAGGGUAUUCAAAACAAUCUUGUGGGUUUUGAUUUUAGCCUCAAUUUGAUCAUCCCUGUCACUUGAAAUCCUGAGUGCCCCUUUGAGGAAUAUCAAAACUUUACAGACCGCAGAAACUGCAUAAGCAUCAUACCAAUGCAAGGAUUAGCACUGAGUCACUAGACAGAUAAUUUUGUUGCAUGUAGGUG